rnacentral:lncRNA from 1 species
AUGCAUUUCUAAAGGAAGCAGAGAAGUAAGAGCUUGGUAUUUUUCAAAUGGAACUCAAAGGUCUUUGCAGCCUGGGCUCGGCACUGGGCUGAGAGCCGUCAGAGGAGCUGCUGCAGGGGUGGCUGCCAUUCCUCAACCCGAUUCUAUCGUUAUUAUUUACAUUCUAUGUCUUCUCUUUCAAGAUUAUUUUUUUGACAUUUGCCUUCUGGCAGAGCUGGGACCAAUGAGUGGGAGGUGGAUUUUGGCGGAACACAGGAGGAAUUCUCUUAGUCAGAGCCAUCCAAAAAUGGAAAGACCUGACUCAGAAGACAGCGUGUCCCCUGCCUGCAUAAGGUCCUGGUGAGGUCCUGUCAAGGGUGCUCUGCCCUGUGCUUUGACAGGUGUGUGCGGAGAUGAAAGUUUCAGGAAUCUGUCCCAGAUUUCUCCCUGGGCUGAGUUCUUGCCUUGGUCACCUGCCCAGGACUGCAGUUUCUCUGAUACCACCUCAGGGGAGGGGCAGGACCUAGACCCUCAGAAUCUGGCCUUGAAGCCUGGAUAC